GACGAACGCUGGCGGCGUGCCUAAUACAUGCAAGUCGAACGAAACUUUCUUACACCGAAUGCUUGCAUUCACUGUAAGAAGUUGAGUGGCGGACGGGUGAGUAACACGUGGGUAACCUGCCUAAAAGAAGGGGAUAACACUUGGAAACAGGUGCUAAUACCGUAUAUCUCUAAGGAUCGCAUGAUCCUUAGAUGAAAGAUGGUUCUGCUAUCGCUUUUAGAUGGACCCGCGGCGUAUUAGCUAGUUGGUAAGGUAACGGCUUACCAAGGCGACGAUGCAUAGCCGAGUUGAGAGACUGAUCGGCCACAUUGGGACUGAGACACGGCCCAA
rnacentral:rRNA from 1 species